AGUGAACGCUGGCGGUAGGCCUAACACAUGCAAGUCGAACGGCAGCACAGUAAGAGCUUGCUCUUACGGGUGGCGAGUGGCGGACGGGUGAGGAAUACAUCGGAAUCUACUUUUUCGUGGGGAAUAACGUAGGGAAACUUACGCUAAUACCGCAUACGACCUACGGGUGAAAGCAGGGGAUCUUCGGACCUUGCGCGAUUGAAUGAGCCGAUGUCGGAUUAGCUAGUUGGCGGGGUAAAGGCCCACCAAGGCGACGAUCCGUAGCUGGUCUGAGAGGAUGAUCAGCCACACUGGAACUGAGACACGGUCCAGACUCCUACGGGAGGCAGCAGUGGGGAAUAUUGGACAAUGGGCGCAAGCCUGAUCCAGCCAUACCGCGUAGGUGAAGAAGGCCUUCGGGUUGUAAAGCCCUUUUGUUGGGAAAGAAAAGCAGCAGGUUAAUACCCCGCUGUUCUGACGGUACCCAAAGAAUAAGCACCGGCUAACUUCGUG
rnacentral:rRNA from 1 species